rnacentral:tRNA from 1 species
GCCCCUGUGAUGAAAAGGUAGACAUAUCGAUUUCAAAAGUCGACGCUUGAAAAGCAUAUCGGUUCGAGUCCGAUCAGGGGU